UACAGUCAAACCUGUCUAAAACGGUCACCUUGGGACAUGCAUUUAGUGGCUGUCUUAUGCAGAAACUAUAUAACAAGACUUAAAGAACUUUUAGGUACCCCUAAAGGCCUAAACUGAGUGGUAUAUAGUAUUAUUUCGAAGGUAUUAUUUGAGAUAACAAUUUAACAAAAAUUAAUCAUUA